AACACAUCAAAUUAGAGCUAAUGAAGAAAUUACUGUCCUCAGUAGGACUGGACUGUGAAAGCCUGAUGUAUAUUUUACUUUAACUGGAGUAGAAGAUUCAAAACGCUAUGACUAGUGUCUUCCCAAACCCUGUGUUACCCACAGAGAGAAGCAUAUGCAGAAGGUGCUAUUGAAAUUAGUCUUAAAAAAAAAAAAGCAUUACUUUCAACAAGCAACAAAAAAUAACCAAGUAAAGCUAGAUGGUCUCUUGGCUCCACCCUUGUGAAGUGAAACCUGCCAGGUGUGGAUCAUUUGACUUUUGCUAUAUAGGAAGCCUGAGGACUUGUGGGGAAUUGCCUUCCUAGUGGGGAGUUUGAGGCUCAGGUUCUCUAGGGUGCUUUUCUGCUGUUGUGGUGAAGCGGAUUCAGUGUUCCCUGGUGGGCUGCUUUUUCUUCACGUUUUCUCCCAUCUCUGUGAAAUAGUUUCAGUGACUCUAUGAGUUAGCGAUGUUGUUGUUGCCCUCUCAGUGUGGUGAGACCCUGGUGGUGCAAAGUCACUGUGAAGCAGUGUGGAAGUGACUCAAGUUCAGGAGCUGGCAGUGAAAUUACUUCCGUGGCUUCUAAGCUCCCUUUCAAGCUCUUCCAAAUAUAAUGAUAAUGAAAGCUAAGAAGAAAGCCCCACCAACUCAGAAGCUCAAGUGCUUACAGGCCUGCGUCUCGGCUGUGGAGAAAGAUUUGGAAGAUCGCGCUGAGGGUCACAUCGCUGAGGUUCCCGCGCCGAGGUGUCGUGGUUUAACCCGGCCGGCAGCUAAACACCACGCAGCUGUUCGCUCACCCUCUCCCCUCCCUCUCUGGGAC